GACGAACGCUGGCGGCGUGCCUAAUACAUGCAAGUAGAACGCUGAAGGAGGAGCUUGCUCUUCUGGAUGAGUUGCGAACGGGUGAGUAACGCGUAGGUAACCUGCCUGGUAGCGGGGGAUAACUAUUGGAAACGAUAGCUAAUACCGCAUAACAGUAGAUGUUGCAUGACAUUUACUUAAAAGGUGCAAUUGCAUCACUACCAGAUGGACCUGCGUUGUAUUAGCUAGUUGGUGGGGUACGGCUCACCAAGGCGACGAUACAUAGCCGACCUGAGAGGGUGAUCGGCCACACUGGGACUGAGACACGGCCCAGACUCCUACGGGAGGCAGCAGUAGGGAAUCUUCGGCAAUGGACGGAAGUCUGACCGAGCAACGCCGCGUGAGUGAAGAAGGUUUUCGGAUCGUAAAGCUCUGUUGUAAGAGAAGAACGAGUGUGAGAGUGGAAAGUUCACACUGUGACGGUAUCUUACCAGAAAGGGACGGCUAACUACGU
rnacentral:rRNA from 1 species